rnacentral:rRNA from 1 species
UACGGGGGGGGCAAGCGUUGUUCGGAAUUACUGGGCGUAAAGGGCGCGUAGGCGGCCGCCUAAGUCAGACGUGAAAUCCCUCGGCUCAACCGGGGAACUGCGUCUGAUACUGGGUGGCUUGAAUCCGGGAGAGGGAUGCGGAAUUCCAGGUGUAGCGGUGAAAUGCGUAGAUAUCUGGAGGAACACCGGUGGCGAAGGCGGCAUCCUGGACCAACACUGACGCUGAGUGAGCGAAAGCCAGGGGAGCAAACGGG